rnacentral:rRNA from 1 species
UGCAGUCGAACGAAGUAGCAAUACUUAGUGGCGAACGGGUGAGUAUAAUGUGGGUAUCUGCCUUUUGGUUUGGAAUAACACGGGGAAACUUGUGCUAAUACCGGAUAAGCCUUUACAGGGAAAGUUUUAACGCCAAAAGAUGAGCCCGCACUUGAUUAGCUAGUUGGUAAGGUAAUGGCUUACCAAGGCAACGAUCAAUAGCUGAUCUGAGAGGAUGAUCAGCCACAUUGGGACUGAGACACGGCCCAAACUCCUACGGGAGGCAGCAGUGGGGAAUCUUGCACAAUGGGGGAAACCCUGAUGCAGCGAUGCCGCGUGAGUGAAGAAGGCCCUUGGGUUGUAAAGCUCUUUCGUCGGGGAAGAAAAUGACUGUACCCGAAUAAGAAGGUCCGGCUAACUUCGUGCCAGCAGCCGCGGUAAUACGAAGGGACCUAGCGUAGUUCGGAAUUACUGGGCUUAAAGAGCUCGUAGGUGGUUAGAAAAGUUGGUGGUGAAAUCCCAAGGCUUAACCUUGGAACUGCCGCCAAAACUUUUUGACUAGAGUAUGAUAGAGGAAAGUGGAAUUUCUAGUGUAGAGGUGAAAUUCGUAGAUAUUAGAAAGAACACCAAUUGCGAAGGCAGCUUUCUGGAUCAUUACUGACACUGAGGAGCGAAAGCAUGGGUAGCGAAGAGGAUUAGAUACCCUCGUAGUCCAUGCCGUAAACGAUGUGUGCUAGACGUUGGAAAUUUAGUUUUCAGUGUCGCAGCAAAAGCGUUAAGCACACCGCCUGGGGAGUACGACCGCAAGGUUAAAACUCAAAUGAAUUGACGGGGA